AUGACGGAAUAUUUAACUUGAUGGCGUGAGUAGAACGAGUUAUGAUUGAUGCGCAUGAUGAUGUUCAAAAAAAUAGUUUCGAACCUAAAUGAUAGUUAUGUGAUAGAUGUUUUGAGUUUAAGGUUUUGAACGAGACAAGAUUAAUAUGGAUGUUAGAACCCUAAAAUCAUUAAAAAGGAGAUAGUUUAGUUUAGAGACCUAUCUUCCUUUCCUUCACGACUUCUUCUCAAACUUAUCGAUUCUUCGUCAAUAAAGGUCCAGGCGGGAAGUGAUAGCUAAAGAGGGAAGUAACUCUACGCCCGUUGUGGGAACGAAUAAGGUUGAGCGGGUAAUGGAAUGGAGUGGAGUUGAGCGGAUGUACCUUGUGACAUAGAACAAUAAUGUAACCUUGAGUAUACAUCUUCAUAUGUAUAACUCACACGUAUUUCCGCUGCAAGAUACUCUGAUUAUGUUAAGCUUUUUAUUUUAAGUAUGAUACUCUUUUGUUGGUUAAUCCACUUUGACGGGCCUUCCUGAACGAA